GAUGAACGCUGGCGGCGUGCCCAAUACAUGCAAGUCGAGCGAUCGGACGAGAAGCUUGCUUCUCUGAUGUUAGCGGCGGACGGGUGAGUAACACGUGGAUAACCUACCUAUAAGACUGGGAUAACUUCGGGAAACCGGAGCUAAUACCGGAUAAUAUUUUGAACCGCAUGGUUCAAAAGUGAAAGACGGUCUUGCUGUCACUUAUAGAUGGAUCCGCGCUGCAUUAGCUAGUUGGUAAGGUACGGCUUACCAAGGCAACGAUGCAUAGCCGACCUGAGAGGGUGAUCGGCCACACUGGAACUGAGACACGGUCCAGACUCCUACGGGAGGCAGCAGUAGGGAAUCUUCCGCAAUGGGCGAAAGCCUGACGGAGCAACGCCGCGUGAGUUAUGAAGGUCUUCGGAUCGUAAAACUCUGUUAUUAGGGAAGAACAUAUGUGUAAGUAACUGUGCACAUCUUGACGGUACCUAAUCAGAAAGCCACGGCUAACUACGUG
rnacentral:rRNA from 1 species